CGUAGGUGGCAAGCGUUGUCCGGAAUUAUUGGGCGUAAAGCGCGCGCAGGCGGGAACUUAAGUCUAUCUUAAAAGUUCGGGGCUCAACCCCGUGAUGGGGUAGAAACUGGGUUUCUUGAGUAUCGGAGAGGAAAGUGGAAUUCCCAGUGUAGCGGUGAAAUGCGUAGAUAUUGGGAGGAACACCAGUGGCGAAGGCGACUUUCUGGACGAUGUCUGACGCUGAGGCGCGAAAGCCAGGGAAGUGAGCGGGAUUAGAUACCCCGGUAAUCCUGGCCGUAAACGAUGGGUACUAGGUGUAGAGGGUAUCGACCCCUUCUGUGCCGGAGUUAACGCAAUAAGUACCCCGCCUGGGGAGUACGGCCGCAAGGUUG
rnacentral:rRNA from 1 species